rnacentral:rRNA from 2 species
AGAGUUUGAUCAUGGCUCAGAUUGAACGCUGGCGGCAUGCCUUACACAUGCAAGUCGAACGGCAGCACGGGUGCUUGCACCUGGUGGCGAGUGGCGAACGGGUGAGUAAUACAUCGGAACAUGUCCUGUAGUGGGGGAUAGCCCGGCGAAAGCCGGAUUAAUACCGCAUACGAUCUACGGAUGAAAGCGGGGGACCUUCGGGCCUCGCGCUAUAGGGUUGGCCGAUGGCUGAUUAGCUAGUUGGUGGGGUAAAGGCCUACCAAGGCGACGAUCAGUAGCUGGUCUGAGAGGACGACCAGCCACACUGGGACUGAGACACGGCCCAGACUCCUACGGGAGGCAGCAGUGGGGAAUUUUGGACAAUGGGCGAAAGCCUGAUCCAGCAAUGCCGCGUGUGUGAAGAAGGCCUUCGGGUUGUAAAGCACUUUUGUCCGGAAAGAAAUCCUUGGCUCUAAUACAGUCGGGGGAUGACGGUACCGGAAGAAUAAGCACCGGCUAACUACGUGCCAGCAGCCGCGGUAAUACGUAGGGUGCGAGCGUUAAUCGGAAUUACUGGGCGUAAAGCGUGCGCAGGCGGUUUGCUAAGACCGAUGUGAAAUCCCCGGGCUCAACCUGGGAACUGCAUUGGUGACUGGCAGGCUAGAGUAUGGCAGAGGGGGGUAGAAUUCCACGUGUAGCAGUGAAAUGCGUAGAGAUGUGGAGGAAUACCGAUGGCGAAGGCAGCCCCCUGGGCCAAUACUGACGCUCAUGCACGAAAGCGUGGGGAGCAAACAGGAUUAGAUACCCUGGUAGUCCACGCCCUAAACGAUGUCAACUAGUUGUUGGGGAUUCAUUUCCUUAGUAACGUAGCUAACGCGUGAAGUUGACCGCCUGGGGAGUACGGUCGCAAGAUUAAAACUCAAAGGAAUUGACGGGGACCCGCACAAGCGGUGGAUGAUGUGGAUUAAUUCGAUGCAACGCGAAAAACCUCACCUACCCUUGACAUGGUCGGAAUCCCGCUGAGAGGUGGGAGUGCUCGAAAGAGAACCGGCGCACAGGUGCUGCAUGGCUGUCGUCAGCUCGUGUCGUGAGAUGUUGGGUUAAGUCCCGCAACGAGCGCAACCCUUGUCCUUAGUUGCUACGCAAGAGCACUCUAAGGAGACUGCCGGUGACAAACCGGAGGAAGGUGGGGAUGACGUCAAGUCCUCAUGGCCCUUAUGGGUAGGGCUUCACACGUCAUACAAUGGUCGGAACAGAGGGUUGCCAACCCGCGAGGGGGAGCUAAUCCCAGAAAACCGAUCGUAGUCCGGAUUGCACUCUGCAACUCGAGUGCAUGAAGCUGGAAUCGCUAGUAAUCGCGGAUCAGCAUGCCGCGGUGAA